rnacentral:rRNA from 1 species
CGGACGGGUGAGUAACACGUGGAUAACCUACCUAUAAGACUGGGAUAACUUCGGGAAACCGGAGCUAAUACCGGAUAAUAUAUUGAACCGCAUGGUUCAAUUGUGAAAGACGGUUUUGCUGUCACUUAUAGAUGGAUCCGCGCCGCAUUAGCUAGUUGGUAAGGUAACGGCUUACCAAGGCAACGAUGCGUAGCCGACCUGAGAGGGUGAUCGGCCACACUGGAACUGAGACACGGUCCAGACUCCUACGGGAGGCAGCAGAU